GACUCCUCCCUCAGGAUCAGGACGCCCAAGCGUUGUCCCCCAGCCCAGGCGCACUUUUGUAAAAGUUUGUCUUCCCGCCACCCACAGCCCAACACGCACCCUGCAGGCGUCCGCGGCUGGGGAUGGGCUCGGAGUCUUGCACCCCGAAAGAAGGACGAUCUUAUUGAUUUAUAUCUUUUCAAAUCAAGGACAAAUCAAGAUCCCGGGGUGGAAAGUGGGCGACCCUUGUUCCUGCCGGGAAGUGCACACGAGGAGCCGGCCAGAAACCCAGGCGCCGGCAGGGGUCUGAAGAGGACUCCAGCCCCGGAAGCCCGUGGCCGGCGGGCAGAAGACCGGUCCGCCGCCUCCCGCACCUUCUUGCACCCGCGCCCAGGUGCGCCCCAAACCUCGCCGCCCGCCCGGGCGAGAUCGGGAGCGAGCAGCCACCGGGCUGCGCCGCCUCCCCUAGCUUGGAGCGGGUUCUUACUCACCGUGGGGUUUUACCUCCAGCCCAGGGCCCGGUCGGCUCCCUUCGCCGGGUCAGCUGCAGCCAGCGCGAAAGAAAAUGGUGAGCUCGGGGCAGGUGGGGCGUCGCUUGCCAAUCCACGCAAGGGACUCUGCCGCCGGUGCGCGAGGUCCCGGCGAGCCAACCGGCGGACGGGCGAGCGCCUGGCUCCAGCUGCAGCCGCCGUCGCUCCGGAGCAGCCCCCUCAUGCACCCAGCGCGCCGCGCAGCCGGCCGGGGCUCGACUGUCUCGCGGGGACGCCGAGCGGGGACCCCUGGCGGCCGCCUGCGGUAUGGCAGCACCGUGGAGAGAAAAGUCGUCUUUGGGAUCAUCUUCCCUCCGGAAAGAGAUGGGACAUGACCAGUCUAAGGGGGCUUCCAGCCUUGCAGAAAAGACACUGGGCCAGGGCAGUGAAGAAGGUGUCAGAUCAGAAAGGAUGAUCUCUGGGUCCACAACGGCCACUUCCAAGGCACCUAGAGAGGGGGAAACAGUUUGCCUUCCCCAGGAUUUUCUGAUUGUUGAAAAAUACCAUGAACUGCCUGACACAGAGCGGAGCAUAAAUCAUUGGAAAAUACUCAGAUUCUAGUGGAUUUACUAGAACACACUGGGAGUCAUGGAUGAACCUGGAUUUUAAAGCUCAACCCACAGCCCGCCACUCUCUACUUGUGUGGUCUUGGUCUAUCUACAACCUUAAAGCCUCAGUAUUCUCCUCCGUAAAUUGGCGGGGAGCAAUAUCACCCUUGCAGGGUGAUGGUUACGGGUAAACUACAUUUGAAACGUUUUUAUAGUUUAUAGUAACAGAAAUCAAAUAUGAGCUUCCUGCCUUCUGGAGAAAAAGAAUUGGAUCUUUCACAUUUUUCUAUUACCCAUAUGAUCACAUCUUAAUGCAUAUUGAUUGAACUGUACCAAAUGACGAAGUACUGCAUUUUACCAUUCUUACUACACACUUCAAAGAGGUGUGGAAAUAUAUUAAGUAGAAAUUAGGAUAUAUAGAGAAAACAUCCCUCCUCCAAAAGAGGUUUCUGCAACUAACUACGAAGUGAGAACUUCUAAAAUCACUUACAUCUUUUGCAAUAUCAUCUCAGAUAUUGUAAGAAACAUUUAAUAAAUAGUCAUGACUUAAUGAUAUC
ensembl:lncRNA EMICERI EQTN MOB3B IFNK C9orf72 enhancer RNA I